rnacentral:rRNA from 1 species
AGUCACUGACUAUUAGACUACCCGUGUAGUCCCAGCCGUAAACAAUGUGCGUUAGGUGUGUCGGUAACCACGCGUUACUGAUGCGCCGAAGAGAAAUCGUGAAACGCACCACCUGGGAAGUACGGUCGCAAGGCUGAAACUUAAAGGAAUUGGCGGGGGAGCACCACAACAGGUGGAGCCUGCGGUUUAAUUGGAUUCAACGCCGGACAUCUCACCGGAUAAGACAGCUGAAUGAUUGUCAAUCUGAAGGUUUUACAUGACUAGCUG